rnacentral:tRNA from 1 species
UCCCCUGUAGCUCAACGAGACCCGACACCGCGCCGCAAGAGGUAGCCAUCGGAGUCCACGGCCAGAGCACCACCCCGAGUGACGACGCCGGUUCGAGCCCGGCCAGAGGGAACCA